rnacentral:lncRNA from 1 species
CUUUAUUUUCUAGAAUCUUCUGGAGGCCAGCAUUCGGCCUACGCUGUGGAGGGGAAUCCACAGAGCCGACCCAGGGUGACGCUGGGUGAGCCAAGACCCCCUCCCUGAGUCUAGAUGCUGUGCACCUGCCUGCCAGGAUGGAGAGCGCCAGACUAGACGUCCAGGGGGGUGGCCUGGCACAGUCCUGCACACAGCAAAUGCUCGGCCACAGCGGCUCUGCUUUCACCGAGCCACCCUGGGGGCAGAAGUCAGAUUGACCACAUCCACCGCAGCCCCGUCCCUGCGCUGACUCCUUGAGAGCCAGGAGCCAAUGGCCAGCUGGAAUCAGGAGAUGGUGGCCGGCCAUGGGGUUGGAGCCAACAGCACCCACCGCAAAGGAUGCUGGGAGGCACCUCUCUGACUGGAAACGUCCCCAUCCUGACGGAGCCCCUGGUCCUCACCAUCCUGCCAACCUGGGAGACCAUUACGCCUCUUGCUAUCUCAGCUCUGACUGUUGGUCCAACUCAUUUCCUGCUAAUCACGAUAAAUUCUGACAGCUUCUCCAACUCAGAUGUUGAGCUGCUGGUGCAAACGUUCCCACGGGGACAACAUGAACAGCGUGGUCAAGACAGCCAGGCCUGCCCUGGUCCGGCCUCUGCUGUAUGACUGGGGGCCUCUGCUGCCCCACUGAUGAAAUGGGGACUCUAGCUCCCCGAGAGCAGCCUUGUGGGUUGGUACACAGAGUGCAGUGCCUGGCAGGUCGCAGGGAUCAGUAAAUGGUAACCAUCAGCACUGUGGUCGGCAGGAUAAGGUGUCUACACCCUAAUCCCUGCUUCCUGUAAAUAUGUGACCUGAGGGAUGCCCGGGUGCCUCAGUAGGUUGGGUGUCUGCCUUCAGCUUGAGUUGUGAUCCCAGGAUCCUGGGAUCGAGUUCUGCAUCGGGCUCCCUGCUCAUCGGGGAGUCUGCUUCUCCCUCUCCCUCUGCCCCUCCCCUCACUCGUGCGUGCUCUCUCUCUGUCUCAGAUAAAUCAAUAACAUCUCUCUCUCUUUUUUAAUGUGACCUUACCUGGCAAGAGGACUUUGCAGACAUG